GAACGCUGGCGGCGUGCUUAACACAUGCAAGUCGAGCGGUAAGGCCUUUCGGGGUACACGAGCGGCGAACGGGUGAGUAACACGUGGGUGAUCUGCCCUGCACUCUGGGAUAAGCUUGGGAAACUGGGUCUAAUACCGGAUAUGACCACAGCAUGCAUGUGUUGUGGUGGAAAGAUUUAUCGGUGCAGGAUGGGCCCGCGGCCUAUCAGCUUGUUGGUGGGGUAAUGGCCUACCAAGGCGACGACGGGUAGCCGACCUGAGAGGGUGACCGGCCACACUGGGACUGAGACACGGCCCAGACUCCUACGGGAGGCAGCAGUGGGGAAUAUUGCACAAUGGGCGGAAGCCUGAUGCAGCGACGCCGCGUGAGGGAUGAAGGCCUUCGGGUUGUAAACCUCUUUCAGCAGGGACGAAGCGUGAGUGACGGUACCUGCAGAAGAAGCACCGGCUAACUACGUGCCAGCAGCCGCGGUAAUACGUAGGGUGCGAGCGUUGUCCGGAAUUACUGGGCGUAAAGAGUUCGUAGGCGGUUUGUCGCGUCGUUUGUGAAAACCCGGGGCUCAACUUCGGGCUUGCAGGCGAUACGGGCAGACUUGAGUGUUUCAGGGGAGACUGGAAUUCCUGGUGUAGCGGUGAAAUGCGCAAAUAUCAGGAGGAACACCGGUGGCGAAGGCGGGUCUCUGGGAAACAACUGACGCUGAGGAACGAAAGCGUGGGUAGCAAACAGGAUUAGAUACCCUGGUAGUCCACGCCGUAAACGGUGGCCGCUAGGUGUGGGUUCCUUCCACGGGAUCUGUGCCGUA
rnacentral:rRNA from 1 species